rnacentral:rRNA from 1 species
AGUGAACGCUGGCGGUAGGCCUAACACAUGCAAGUCGAACGGCAGCACAGAGGAGCUUGCUCCUUGGGUGGCGAGUGGCGGACGGGUGAGGAAUACAUCGGAAUCUACUCUGUCGUGGGGGAUAACGUAGGGAAACUUACGCUAAUACCGCAUACGACCUACGGGUGAAAGCAGGGGAUCUUCGGACCUUGCGCGAUUGAAUGAGCCGAUGUCGGAUUAGCUAGUUGGCGGGGUAAAGGCCCACCAAGGCGACGAUCCGUAGCUGGUCUGAGAGGAUGAUCAGCCACACUGGAACUGAGACACGGUCCAGACUCCUACGGGAGGCAGCAGUGGGGAAUAUUGGACAAUGGGCGCAAGCCUGAUCCAGCCAUACCGCGUGGGUGAAGAAGGCCUUCGGGUUGUAAAGCCCUUUUGUUGGGAAAGAAAUCCAGCCGGCUAAUACCUGGUUGGGAUGACGGUACCCAAAGAAUAAGCACC